rnacentral:rRNA from 1 species
AACGAACGCUGGCGGCAGGCCUAACACAUGCAAGUCGAGCGAAGCCUUCGGGCUUAGCGGCGGACGGGUGAGUAACGCGUGGGAACGUGCCCUUUGGUACGGAAUAGCCCCGGGAAACUGGGAGUAAUACCGUAUGUGGUCGAGAGACGAAAGAUUUAUCGCCAAAGGAUCGGCCCGCGUUGGAUUAGGUAGUCGGUGGGGUAAUGGCCUACCAAGCCGACGAUCCAUAGCUGGUUUGAGAGGAUGAUCAGCCACACUGGGACUGAGACACGGCCCAGACUCCUACGGGAGGCAGCAGUGGGGAAUUUUAGACAAUGGGGGAAACCCUGAUCUAGCCAUGCCGCGUGAUCGAUGAAGGCCUUAGGGUUGUAAAGAUCUUUCAGUGGGGAAGAUAAUGACUGUACCCACAGAAGAAGCCCCGGCUAACUCCGUGCCAGCCGCCGCCGUAAGAC